GCAGUGCGAACUCUUCCGCAGGGGCGCAGGGUUUUUUACCGUCCUCUUCAGCGCACUGGGAGUUGUGUUGCUCAUUUUCUGCGUUUUAGUCGUGGCCAUCGUGGUGCUUCGGAGGAAGAGGAAACUCCGGAAAACUCUUUGGAAGAGUAACAACCCACAUAUCAGACGAGAUGCGCUGGAUGCGGACUACUUCAACUUUUUAAAUACAGGAUCCAGCACUGGAUGGGUACCAGGGAGAAGUGGACUAUAUGAGUUGGAUGACAGCAUCAAUCUUGCAAAUCAAUUCUCCCCUGUGUUCAGCCCCAGUCUGGAGUGUGUAGACUCAUCCUUAAAUGUGAAAAUCAAAAGACCAGAACUUUUGUCAUCCUUUCCUGAUGGGUAAUUCGACUGCAUCAUUUUACCUAGCUUAGUAAAAUCAAAUAUAACAAAAUGCUUUAAUCAUGGCAUGUUCAUGUUUAAACUUUAUUUUUGAAACAUUUAACCAAACUCUUGAUCAAUUAUUAUAUAAUUAGUUCAUUUUCCCUUGUUCUUAAAUAAUUAAUCUUAAAUGACAGCAACAACAAAUUUCCAUAUUAUUAUUAUUAUUUUUAUGAACAGCAUUUUUCUUUUUAAAAAUAGUGAGUUUAUUGGGUCACACAUUUUAAAAUUGAAUUUGUAAUUUAUUGUGCUUACUUUAGUGUAAAAUGCACAGAGAUUUGUAACAGUCCCUGGAAUUAUAUUUGUUCCCUGUCAUUAACAUUUGAUAGGUCUACUGUUGUAACGAUCACAAAUAAAUGAAUCAUGAAUAAUGAAUUUAAAAUGAGCCCGAUUUUAUUGAGUUUUUAAAUUGCUGUGCCUUCCACUUUCACACCACUAAGAGGCGCCCAAGGCCUAGAGUAAAGAUUAAAUUUAUCCACACAAAAAAUAUUGUUUACAAUCGACUAUGUGCUCAUUGACUAGCAAAAUUUCGACUGCCAUUUUGACUAUGCCAGUCGCUUUUGGUACAGUGGCCUGACAAGGUGCCCAACAAUAAGCUGAAAACAUCUCAAAACAAGCUGAUCAGGGUGAUAAU